rnacentral:lncRNA from 1 species
AUUUCAAAACCUAUCAAUGCUUAAAUAUUCAUUUAUAUUAAAAUACUUAUGUUUAAAAAAGGAAGAAGGUUUCCAGAUACUGACUACCUGACUACUCUGCAUUAGUCUGUCUGAUUUAGGUACAGUUGCUGUUCUACCAGCAUGGCAUGACAGAUAAGGAGGCAAGCUGUGAGGCAAGCCAUGAGCACCAAGCUAUCUGUGGACUGUACUGUCAUUGGGAUUGCAACUGUCUGAAAAUCUUUAUCGUGUGUUCUGCAAGAUGUGUAAAUGCUGUCCAGAAGGCCUGCUGGCUUGGGGUUACUCUGCUGCUUCUGAAGACACAUGCAGCUGUAGUGGGCAGAGUGCCUUUUCAUCAAACGAAGAUGAUCCUAGUUCUGUCUGCUGAGCAUCACAUUAGUCCAUAUCUUUGCCCAGUUCAGACUAGAGUAUGGAAGUGCAGUUGUAGUGAACAUAUAUUUACGGAAACAUAACGGCCUGUUUAUUUAGUGGUGCCCAGGCCAGCAGAGACACAAGUGCUCCUUACCUCUUUUCUUCUGCUAUAUGUCACUCCUAGUGAUGGCAAUAGUACCACUGCUGGAAGUAUUGCUACUGAUGCACACAUCAUGUAGUCUGGCAAUGGCUGCUAUUGUCCUUUGUUGGAUCUAGGAUAUGUCACCUCUGUUGCUUGUUUCACCAGAGUGUGGAGGUAUCUGAAGCCAAAAUUCCUUUGUUCUGUAUUUGUACAGUAUCUAGCACAGACACAGCCUGUGCCUCAAAGAGUGCAGUCGAGUACACAAAUCUUUCAAAUGGGCAAGGUAAGUAAACAAGAAAAGUAUUUUUUGAUCUAUGUUUGUAGGAAGUUGUCACUGGAGUUCGCCCAUGUUAAGUGAAGGGGGAUUGGAAGGCAAAGAAUAAGAUAGCACAGGGGAUAACUGAUAACUACAAGAGGCUGCAAGAGAAAGUACAAAGAUUUGGGUAUAAAAAGCUAAUGGUGGGACAGAAGAGUCUGAUGUAGUGGCCAAACUAGAGAUGAGACUAAAGGUGUAGUUUUGUAGCAGCUGUAGCUGAUCUACUGGGGGCUGCCAUGGUCCUUGGAGGGCUAAGCCAGCUGCAAAUCCCCUUUUUUGGGUUGGUUUCCAGCUGGCUCAUCUCCCUGCGUCAGCUCACUAUGCAAUUGCAGAGGCAGCAGCGCUAGUACAAGAGGGGGAAAUGGUACAGUCCAUUUGAAACUGAAAGAGAAGUAAUAGGUGAAAGGGGAGGAGGCUCACUAGUAAUGUUGACUUUUUGCUUAUUGUCACAAGCUAUGAGAAGUAUUAGGUUUGAACAGAGCUUUUCAGUGGCAGAACUAAAUGGUGGUACUCGCUGCCCCGUGUCGACAGAGGAGCAGUGUGCAGAACUUCAAGCCUGGUAGGAGCAAUAAGCCCCAGGAUUGUAACUUGCCUCUGGCCUAGACAUCUUGAUAGGGCAGUGAUAUAACAGAACACUUGAGGU